rnacentral:tRNA from 1 species
GCCGAAGUGGUGGAAUUGGUAGACGCGCUGCGUUCAGGGCGCAGUGGGGCUAGUCCCUGUGGGGGUUCGAAUCCCCCCUUCGGCACCA